rnacentral:rRNA from 1 species
UUGGAGGGCAGUCUGGUGCAGCAGCCGCGGUAAUUCCAGCUCCAAUAGCGUAUAUUAAAGUUGUUGCAGUUAAAAAGCUCGUAGUUGAACCUCGGGGUCUACCCAUUGGUCAGGCUUAAUUGUCUGCACUGGUGAGAUGGAUCUCUACCUUCUGAGGAACUUUCAUGCCAUUUAUUUGGUGUGAUGGGAAAUCAGGACUGUUACUUUGAAAAAAUUAGAGUGUUUAAAGCAGACUAUCGUCUGAAUACAUUAGCAUGGAAUAAUGAAAUAGGACGGACUGAUUCUAUUUCGUUGGUUUCUAGGAUCACCGUAAUGAUUAAUAGGGAUAGUUGGGGGCAUUAGUAUUCAAUUGUCAGAGGUGAAAUUCUUGGAUUUAUUGAAGACUAACUACUGCGAAAGCAUUUGCCAAGGAUGUUUUCAUUAAUCAAGAACGAAAGUUAGGGGAUCGAAGACGAUCAGAUACCGUCGUAGUCUUAACCAUAAACUAUGCCGACUAGGGAUCGGACGAAGUUAAUUUUAUGAUGACGCGUUCGGCGCCUUACGGGAAAC